AGAAAAUACAACAGGAGACAUGGAUCACUAAACACACAAGAGAGACAAAGUGACAUGCACCGGCAUCCGGAAGUCUCCUUUGGCACAGAGAUACCAGCCGCUGCUGUGUGUUCUCAGUCCACUCAGAGUCACUGUGAACUCUGUCUGGCUCGUUUGAGUAAUGGUCACUGUUGUUCCUUCGAUUGUUCCAGACGGCUCCUUCACAAAGGACCCUCCAAGUGUGUGCCAAGAGAUUUGUCCACUGAUCCUGUGUCUAAAGUGGAUGGAUACACUUUCUCCACUAAACCCUGUCACCUCCUGAUGAUCCACAGAGAGCUGGGGCUGAUCUUGAGGGAAAACAAAUAGACUUCACUGUAAUGUGGACAGCAGCCAUGUAUCAGUACUCUCUAAGAGGGCAGCUACUAUGUUCAGUUUCAUCUUCCAGAUAAAUGAGUCCAACAUUCAACAAAUAUAAUGACAGACAGUUAUCAUUGUUUCAAAUGAUCUUCUAGUGUUCUUCUCAAUAUUACUAUUAAAAACAGACAUGACUGAUAUGAAAUAAUGAGGAAGCUGUUUCAACAAUGAAUUUUAAAACCUUUGCUCUCUUUUCUUUACGUAUGUUAAUGUCUGAGAGACUGAAAUGUGCAGAAACUGAAAAUGCUCCAUCAGCGAGCUGACAGCCAGAUACAGCUCAUCAGUCCGAUUAAAGUUCAGAACUAACAGACCUCCACAGUCAGGCCCCUAC